rnacentral:rRNA from 1 species
CCUACGGGGCGCUGCAGUGGGGAAUAUUGGACAAUGGGCGAAAGCCUGAUCCAGCCAUGCCGCGUGUGUGAAGAAGGCCUUCGGGUUGUAAAGCACUUUCAGUGGGGAAGAAAGCCUUGGGGCUAAUACCCUCGAGGAAGGACAUCACCCACAGAAGAAGCACCGGCUAACUCCGUGCCAGCAGCCGCGGUAAUACGGAGGGUGCGAGCGUUAAUCGGAAUUACUGGGCGUAAAGCGCGCGUAGGCGGUCUGAUAAGCCGGUUGUGAAAGCCCCGGGCUCAACCUGGGAACGGCAUCCGGAACUGUCAGGCUAGAGUGCAGGAGAGGAAGGUAGAAUUCCCGGUGUAGCGGUGAAAUGCGUAGAGCUCGGGAGGAAUACCAGUGGCGAAGGCGGCCUUCUGGACUGACACUGACGCUGAGGUGCUAAAGCGUGGGUAGCAAACAGGAUUAGAUACCCCUGUAGUC